rnacentral:lncRNA from 1 species
UGCAGGUAUGGUUCCGCCUUCGUUGCUCCCUCUCACGUUUUCCCUCUCCUUCGACAGCUUUGGGCGUCCUGUAGGCCUUGGAGUACCCCAACUAGUCUCACUUGCCCCAAGGAAACAUCCCAUUAGACACACAUCCCGGGCAGUGUGUGAAUGCGUAUGUGUGAGGGGGGUGGGGAGGAAGCAGGGGUUCCUAGAGAUUAUUGGGGAUUGUCCAUCCAUCCAAAUCAGGCCAGCAUGGGUGAAG